AUGUACCAUGAGCAGAACUUGGGGAGGGUGAAGGACAAACAAGCCCAUGAGAAAGAGGUGGCCAAGCUACAGAAGGAAAUUGAUUUCCUGUCAAACAACUACAGCCAGUUGGUGGAAGAUGUAUCCAAGCUUUUUGACUAUCAAGACGGCAAGAUGUCUCAUGACAUGGACUUUACCAGUCAGGCAAUCAAUGAUCUAAAUGCAAAGAAGAAACAACUUGAGGAUCAAGCAAAGAUUGAGAUAAGUAUGAAAAAGAUGAAGCUUGCCAAGGAGCAAAGGUGCAUUCUUCAAAGCCAAGCAGAUAUCAUUCAGAACAUGAGGAAGGCCAUGAAGGAAGUGGAGGGGGACAGGGACCUACUUAAGAAAGAGAAGAAGAAGCUGGAGUAUCUGAUUGCUGAUCUGGUCAAUGCUGGGCAUGCCAGCAAAGAUAAGCUGGAGAGGAUCAAGGCAAUUAUGAAUGAGUGA
rnacentral:rRNA from 1 species